UAUGUUAAUGCAUUUAAAUAAUAAAAUUCAAAUGUAUAAUACUCAAAUAAUUAAUGCAUUUAAUAAAUAUGUGUACGCGGCAUAAAUGCGUCCUAUGUACGAAAUAUGUGCAACUUGAUGCGAGCAAUGCACGAAGACAGCGUUGAUUGGUCAAUCGAUUCAUAAGCAUCACAUAACCCGCCAAUAAGAAUAAAAUUGGGGGACAAAACUCAGGUUCCCCUGCAAUAUGGCUGUCAGUAUAAAUUUGAUGCUUGUAACAUGCGUUGCUCUCCGAAAAAUUUGACAAAUAGUCUGUCUAUCUGUCGACUUUUUCAAAAUGUACAUCGUAAUGUGAUUUUUAAGGAAUCAAUACAGUGGGAAACUGCUAUGCGGGUUAGCUGAAGUGUAGCAGUUAAAUAAAUUGUGUAUUGCAAUCAGACAUUUACUGUUAUUCUACGAUCAACGAUACUUGCAAAUAUGACAUCCAGGUUGGACAGACUAUUUAUAUUAUUGGAAACAGGAACAAAUGCUGUCACUAAAAGAGCUGCAGCACAGCAAUUAGGAGAAGCGCAAAGAUUACAUCCUCAUGAUCUACAUCAUUUGUUGGCAAGAGUUUCUACUCUGUUAAAGUCUCCGCAAUGGGAUACCAGAGUAUCAGCUGCACAAGCUGUACAGGCUAUACUUUCUCAGGUUCCUGCUUGGGAUCCACAACCAAUUAAAAAAGAAAUAUGUACAAAUGAUGGUGAAACGAAAAAACCAAAUAAUAGAUUAAAUUUGGGAGACUUUAAUAUGGAAAAAGUCUUAGCUCGCAGUUCACAUCUUACUGGAUCAGAAGGUAGUGAAUACGAUCUGAUUGCUGCUGAUGGAGAACAAGUAUCACUUCCAAAUCAGGAAGAAAAACUUAUUGCUGCUAAAUUGGGUCUCCAUCCACGAUUAAUGGGAGUUGAUACAUCAGAGCUAUUUACUGCUGAAGACUUAACACCAGUAGUAUCGCCGCCUACCUCGAAUACACAGAAUAAAGUAUCUGUGAGUGAAACGCUAAAACAACCGAGUGGACUUAGUAGACGUGAAAUGAAUAGAGCCAGACGUAAAGCACGACAGUCAGUUUCAAAACAACGUUCACGAGAACCAGAUGAACAUCGUAGUAAUGAAGAUUAUUAUAACAAUUCAAAUGCUCAAUCUCCUAUUAACACAGGAGAACCAUUCAGUAAAAAAAUAAAAUUAGAGGAAGUGAUCUCAUCAGAAAUCGGUGUUAAUUGCAAUGCACAGACUGAAUCAACCAGUAGUGUACCAGAUAGUACUGGUUGUUGGCCAGAUUCUGUAAUCGACUGGCCUUUAGAGUCAUUUGCAGAAAACCUUUGUCAAGAUUUAUUUAGUCAAAAAUGGGAAGUGCGACAUGGAGCUGCAACAGCUUUAAGAGAAUUGGUAAAACUUCAUGGAAAAGGUGCUGGUAAAUCAAGAGAUCAGACUAUGAAUGAAAUGGAAGAAAGCCAUUAUCAAUGGGUUAUUGAUGCUGCUUUACGAUUAUUAUGUGUCUUAGGACUUGAUAGAUUUGGAGAUUUUGUUUCUGAUCAAGUAGUUGCACCUGUACGAGAAACAUGUGCUCAAGCACUAGGUUCUCUUCUAUUACUAGUGCCAAAUCAAAAAGAUAAUGAAAAUGAAAAUAAGGGUAUUUUAGGGAUACUUUCAGUUAUGCUAAAGCUUUUAGAACACGAUGAAUGGGAAGCAAGACAUGGCGCAUUGCUUGCAUUGAAAUAUUUACUUGCUGUACGAGAUGAUCUACUGGAUGACAUUUUACCAAGAGUAUUUCCAGCUAUCAUACAAGGUCUUUCUGAUCCGGUUGACGAUGUAGGUGCUGCUGCAGCUAGUGCACUUAUACCCGUGGCAUUCGCCCUUCCACGUUUACUGAAACCGGCAGAAUUAGAGGCUAUUGUAAUUCGUCUUUGGGAACUUCUACGUGAACAAGAUGAUCUAGCAGCAGCAUGUAAUAGUUUUAUGGGAUUACUCGCUGCUAUACUUUCAUUACCUACAGCACACACUUACAUUACCCCUCAGCCAUUGUCACAGGUUUUACCGCGAUUGUGGCCAUUUCUUAGUCAUUCUAGUUCUAGUGUACGAAAAGCCACUUUGCAAACAUUACAGACAUUAACUGGAGAUGACGGUGCUCAUAAUAAAAAUAGAAAGGAACGAUGGGGUGAAGGAGGUGGAUUGGUAUUACAGGAAGCUCUUCGUCAUGUGUUUCAACGUGUAUUGAUCGAACAUGUGACUGCCAUACAAGACGUAGCCGAACGUGUUUGGGAAAAUCUAGUCGUACAGAGCGAUCUCGAACUACUAUUGCAUGCAGCGUGUCCUCUCGUUAGCACAUGGCUUUGUCUUGCUAUGCAACCCGAACACGUGCCAUUUAAUCCGAACUUAUUAAUGACAAUAAGUACUCUUAAUAAAGGAAUAAAAAGUAAUCAAAUUAUUGGUAUUUGCGAUGGACAAUCAGAUACUAGUAACAACGGAGGGAACAAUACUAUAAGCGGAAAUGGAAAAUCAAUGUCUGAACUGAAAGUUUACAUAGGUGGAAUCGAGACUGUAGCUCAAAAUAUAAGAAAAUCAAAUGUAGUACAGGCUCGUUGUAGAGCUUCACGAAUGUUAGGAUUGUUAUCACAUUAUGUAGUACAACCGGCACCGGGUGUUACUUAUACACCAGACAUACCUAGUCCUGCAAUUUGCUAUGCUAAAGUAUUAUUGGCACAUCUUAAUUCACGCUCAGCAUUACAACGCACCGUUGUAGGUUUAACUAUGUCUCAUUGGGCGACCGUAAACAAUAUGAAACCACCUGCAAUACCAGACAUUUUAAGGGACAGACUGUUGGGGUGUUUAAAUGAAUGCGUAUAUUAUGACGAAAUCGCCGCAUCUUUCACUCGUCUUUUACAUGAUAGUCGUGAUUACAUUGCCACUCUCAAACACUAUAAACUACCUGUUCCUAUUGAGAUAGAUGCAUCGGGAGUAAUGACGCUUGAUCAAAUUGCAAGCCUUGCUGGAAAACCGAUUUCAGAGCUUUGUGCCAUGAGCAAUGCCACAGGUUCCGGAGGACCGGGUGGAAAUAUUGGCGGGAAUUCUAGUACAAUUAAACUAAAACCGAAACUAAUAGAAAGUUUGGAAGAAAGACGGAAAGCUUUAGAAACAGGUGCUGCUGACACAGCAGCACAACAACUUUCGUAUAAUGUCAUGUCAAUGGCAGCAUUAGCUGGUGCUGCCACGAUGUUACAUUGCCUUCCACCGACCCCACAACCUCUUAAUCCAUUAGUAAAACCGUUAAUGGAAGCUAUAAAGCGCGAGGAAAAUGAAGAAUUACAAAAGUUAGCUGCAAAACAUUUGUCAUACUUAGUUGAUCUUUGUGUAGAUAGAAAACCUUCUCCCAAUGCAAAGAUAUCGACCAAUUUAUGUACAUUCCUAUGCUCGGAUAUUGAAUUUACACCUCGUGUAAAUUGCAAUACAGACUCAGAUCUAUUUGAUGGAAUUCUUACUUUAAGCAAUAGACAAAAACAUGCUGAAAGAGUAGCUUACAAUCGAGGAGCAAGUAGUGGACUUGGUGGAGGAAGAGGACCUGGUCGACCGCCGACAACUGAAAUUCCUUUGGAAGAAUUACUUGCUUGUGAAGAACCUGAAGCUAAAGCUGCUCGAACACGUCGUCGUGGCGCCACUUUUGCACUUACUGCUAUAGCUACUCUUUUCGGUGCACAAUUACCUACACGGUUACCACACCUUUGGGAGCUGAUAUUACCAAGUAUAUUACGAGAAGAAGAUAAAAUCAUUGGCCGUGAAAAUACUCAAGAAGGAGUAAAUCAACUCAUUUUCGGUUUACAAGUUUUAGAAAUCAUGGCUCCAAGUCUUGAUAAAGCUUUACUACCUCCUGCUUUGGAAUGUCUUUCCUGUUUAUGUAAAUUAUUGGCCCACCCUUAUAAGGCUGUUAGACAUAUGGCAUCACGAUGUAUCGCUGUAUUAGCUACAUUAGAUACAGAAAAGACCAUAGUACAUGUUACACGCAGUGUAAUACCACUCUUAGAAGCUACUGGUGGUGAAAAAUUAUAUUCUACAACUGUGACUGCACCAAGUGAAGUGGAUUCGAUAAGGCAAGGCGCAGCUGAAGCAUUAGCAUGUCUUGUCGAAAGUUUAGGUGUUAAUAUAGUUCCAUAUGCUGUAUUGUUCAUGGUACCUUUGUUGGGGCGUAUGAGUGAUCAGAAUCAGGCAGUAAGAUUAGCUUGCAGUGCAACAUUUGCAACACUCGUGCAACUUUUACCUCUGGAUCCUGGUGCAAUUGCUGACCCGCCAGAUCUAGUAGAGAAAAAAGCUCAAGAGCGGCGGUUUCUAGAACAACUUUUGAAUCCACGCAGUAUUCCAGAUACUGAAUUACCAAUUCCUGUAGCUGCAGAACUGCGUUCUUAUCAGCGUCAAGGCUUAAAUUGGUUAAAUUUUUUAAAUUGCUAUCGACUCCAUGGUGUUCUGUGUGAUGAUAUGGGUCUUGGAAAAACGUUGCAAACUCUUUGUAUAUUAGCGUUAGAUCAUCAUCGUAAUCCUCAUGCUCCACCAAGUUUGGUAGUGUGUCCACCGACUUUAACUGGUCACUGGGUAUACGAAGCUGACAAAUUCUUUAAAACCAAAGAUCUUUCGGUGUUACAAUAUGCCGGCACCCCGCCUGAACGAGAAAAAUUACGACCAAAAGUCGCUCAUCAUAGACUCAUCGUUGCGAGUUAUGAUAUAGUACGUAAAGAUAUCGAUUAUUUUGAAACUCGUCAAUGGAAUUAUUGUGUACUUGAUGAAGGUCAUGUCAUAAAAAAUGGAAAAACGAAAAGUGCGAAAGCGACAAAACGAUUGCAUGCCAAUCACAGACUUAUACUCUCAGGCACGCCUGUGCAGAAUGACGUGCUCGAAUUGUGGUCGUUAUUUGACUUUUUAAUGCCAGGUUUCCUGGGCACUGAAAAGCAAUUUGCGGCAAAGUAUUCACGUCCUAUUUUAGCUUGUAGAGAACCAAAAGCUGGACCAAAAGAACAAGAAGCAGGGGCGUUAGCUAUGGAGGCACUUCAUAGACAGGUUUUGCCAUUUUUACUUAGGCGAAAUAAAGAGGAUGUUCUUCAAGACUUACCGCCUAAAAUCACACAAGACUACUAUUGUGAUUUAUCACCGUUACAACGAACGUUGUACGAAGAUUUUCGUACUCGUCAUUCUGCUACUCUAUUGUCGACUGUAUCGUGUACUUCGGCUUCGAAUGAUCCGCAUGGUGGUCACGUGUUCGAAGCAUUGCGUUAUCUACGUAAUGUUUGUAAUCAUCCUAAAUUAGUACUAAAUCCACGACAUCCAUUGUAUCAAAAUAUAUGCAAUACAUUAAAACAGCAAAAGAGUACUUUAGCGGACAUAGAACAUGGAGCUAAAUUACCUGCAUUGAAACAAUUGUUAUUAGAUUGUGGUAUCGGUCAGCCGCAGCAACAACAAAGUCGUAAUUCCGUGGCUGCUGGCACUACUCAAGAUAAUCAACCACCACAACAGCAACAAUUAGUGAGCCAACAUAGAGCGUUGAUCUUUUGUCAAUUGAAAGCAAUGUUAGAUAUCGUAGAAAAAGAUUUGUUGCGUACACAUCUACCAACAGUCACAUAUCUUCGACUUGAUGGAAGUAUACCCGCGACACAAAGGCAUUCCGUAGUGGCACGUUUCAACGCUGAUCCGUCGAUAGAUGUGUUAUUGUUAACAACUCAAGUUGGUGGUCUUGGUUUAAAUCUGACUGGUGCAGAUACAGUUAUAUUUGUAGAACAUGAUUGGAAUCCUAUGAAAGAUCUGCAAGCGAUGGACCGAGCACAUCGCAUUGGACAGAAGAAAGUAGUUAACGUAUAUCGGUUAAUCACAAGAUCAACAGUGGAAGAGAAAAUUAUGGGACUUCAAAAGUUCAAGCUUCUUACUGCAAAUACUGUUAUUUCGACCGAGAACGCAUCUUUGGAAACAAUGGCAACUGAUCAGUUACUAGAUUUGUUUUCGUUGGACAACAGUAAAGGAAAAAGGCCAGAAUCACAAGAAGAUGCCGUAUCUAAAAUUACCGGUGUUCCAGGUGUUAGUCGUUCUGUUCUAGAAAUUCUUCCUGAAUUAUGGGAACAACAACAAUACGACGACGAAUAUGAUUUUGAUUCAUUUCUGUCCUCUCUAAAGUCUGAAAACCAGUGAGCUUAUCAUUUUACUCAUCAGUAUAAUCAAAUACAUAAUGAUUUAGCAGAAUUAAUACUAACGAACAUUCUUUUCAUUAAAGAAGAACAAAAGAUAUACGAAUUACUUACAAAGAAGAAACUCGGAUAAAUAAGUUAUGGAUAAUAUUAAUUAAGUACUAUAAGUAAGCGAGUCUUGUUUAUUUAUAAUAACUUAUAAAAAUGCUGAUACAAUUACAAUUCCGUAUUUGUACCAAACGA
rnacentral:misc_RNA from 1 species